AUAAAAAGAAAGGGUGCACGGUUAAAUUUUAAACUUCGUAAAGCUUAUUUUUUUGUGUAAGCAAGAUACAUUCAUGGUUGAGAGAUAGAACCUUGAUGGCUGGCGGCAGAGCAGAGACGGUGGCACACCUCACUUCGAUUUCUUCCUUCUGCUUAGGGUUUUCAAAAACGAGUUCCCUCUUUUGGAAGAUGAUCAAAAUUAUAAUUAAAAAUCUAUAUGGAAUAAAUAACACCCAAAAUUAGAAAAUAAAGAGUAAAAAUGGAACAGAAAUAAAAGCGAUAGGGAUCUGAGUAAUGAACACAACAAGAUGAAACACACACACAAAUAAACAAACAAAAUAAUAAUAUUAAGUCUCAUAUAUUUUCCAGGGAAACAAACGGUAGUAGGAAUUGCUGACUCGUAAGUAGAUUGGAGAGGUUUUCUGCUGAAUCAUCUUUGGUGCGUCCAUUUUCCUCUUCUUUUUUUCAUUUUGUUU
rnacentral:lncRNA from 1 species